AUGCCUUCAAGAUUAACUUUUGACUAAGAUCAAGUGUAGUACCUGUUCUUAUCAGUUUAAUAAUUGAUAUGUCCUCUAUCCAAGGACAAUAUUGUAAAUGGAGUUUUGGAAAUAAGAUGGAAUAGGAGCUUGCUCCGCCCACUCCACACAUCAACCUGGUACUGCAGCACCUCCAGGAACAGUGUACCCUUC
ensembl:snRNA U2 U2 spliceosomal RNA